rnacentral:rRNA from 1 species
AUGCCUAAUACAUGCAAGUCGAACGAUCUCUUCGGAGAUAGUGGCGCACGGGUGCGUAACGCGUGGGAAUCUGCCCUUGGGUUCGGAAUAACAUCGGGAAACUGAUGCUAAUACCGGAUGAUGACGUAAGUCCAAAGAUUUAUCGCCCAGGGAUGAGCCCGCGUAGGAUUAGCUAGUUGGUGAGGUAAAGGCUCACCAAGGCGACGAUCCUUAGCUGGUCUGAGAGGAUGAUCAGCCACACUGGGACUGAGACACGGCCCAGACUCCUACGGGAGGCAGCAGUAGGGAAUAUUGGACAAUGGGCGAAAGCCUGAUCCAGCAAUGCCGCGUGAGUGAUGAAGGCCUUAGGGUUGUAAAGCUCUUUUACCCGGGAUGAUAAUGACAGUACCGGGAGAAUAAGCCCCGGCUAACUCCGUGCCAGCAGCCGCGGUAAUACGGAGGGGGCUAGCGUUGUUCGGAAUUACUGGGCGUAAAGCGCACGUAGGCGGCGAUUUAAGUCAGAGGUGAAAGCCCGGGGCUCAACCCCGGAACUGCCUUUGAGACUGGAUUGCUUGAACAUCGGAGAGGUGAGUGGAAUUCCGAGUGUAGAGGUGAAAUUCGUAGAUAUUCGGAAGAACACCAGUGGCGAAGGCGGCUCACUGGACGAUUGUUGACGCUGAGGUGCGAAGCGUGGGGAGCAA